ACGUAGGUGGCAAGCGUUAUCCGGAAUUAUUGGGCGUAAAGCGCGCGCAGGCGGUUUCUUAAGUCUGAUGUGAAAGCCCACGGCUCAACCGUGGAGGGUCAUUGGAAACUGGGGAACUUGAGUGCAGAAGAGAAAAGCGGAAUUCCACGUGUAGCGGUGAAAUGCGUAGAGAUGUGGAGGAACACCAGUGGCGAAGGCGGCUUUUUGGUCUGUAACUGACGCUGAGGCGCGAAAGCGUGGGGAGCAAACAGGA
rnacentral:rRNA from 1 species